CUUCCCUCCUCUCUUUAUCGGCUCCCUCCCUUUUGUUUCUCAGCUUCUGUCUCCUUUUUACUUCUCCUCCUCCACUCCUAAUCUCCCCCCUUCUUUCCCUCUUUUUCCUCCCUCUUCUUUCUCAUUCCCUUCUCCUCUCUGUUUGUCCCUCUGUCUCUCCAUCUUUCCCAGACAGGCUCUACAGGUCACUAGUUGAGGCUUCUUGGUUCCUCUGACAUCAGCCAAUCAGUCAUGUUUAGAGUGGGCAUUCCCUGGUGUAAGGUCCGCCCCCCCACUGACCAUACAAGGUAACAGUGGAAUGCAUGGCUUGGCAGUCCGUCUGCUUCAUAAGAGAGACACAGAGAGCAGAGGGUGUCCCACACUGAUGAGCAGUCCUAUUACCGUCUGAUUUGAAUUGCAGCUUAUUGUGGGAACACUGAAGCUUCAGAAGAGUGCCAGUGGGCAAACCUGCUCCUCAACUCAUCACUAUUGCAAGAUCAGCCUUUUAGCAGACAGCCAACUCAUUUCACCCAGGAAAACCAAGUAAGCUGCCUGGGGAGAUGACAAGCCUUGAGAAAGCACAUCAGUCCAGCAGCGAAGCAGUGAAGCAGCCUGCCAGCUGCUGUAGAUGUUCCUAGCAACACCUCAGCUGCCCUGCAGCAGAGGACUCAAUAAGGACACUGCAGUGUGUAUUCAUGCUCCGAGACAGAUGACGGAGAAGGACAAUCUCGAGGUGUGCAAGAAACAGACCAGGUCUUGCGGUUGAGAUAAUGGAGAUCAAAGAUGGAGCUCCAACAGUUUACACUUGGGAUGUCAGAGAUGAGCAAGUACAGAGGUGAGUAACACACACACACACACACACACACACACACACACACACACGUGGAAUGUGAGAGGGAGCAGCAGCAUGACAGGAAGUUGGUAUUAUAUAGGUCUACUGGGGGUUAAAAUCAUUUCCUGUUUACCCCUCCCCAACAAAAAUGUUUGUGCUGUGCACUCUAUCCCUCUCUCUCUCUCUCUCACACACACACACACACACACACACACACACACACACACACACACACACACUUAUUCACAUGCUAUUUUUCUCUCGCGCUGCUUUCACUGGUGUUUCAGACAUGUGAGUAGAAAGACUUUGUUAAAAUGUCUUAGCUGUAAUUGAAGACUGUCUUCAUUUGGUCAUUGUGUAUGUUUUCUUUUUUUUUUUUUUAAAGAAACAGAAAUACAACAAACCUGAUUUUACCUAUGCGCUCAUACAAACAUUAUACUGAUGGAGACACAUGCCAGUUCAUACAGUAAGCGAUUACUAAUUAUGUAAUGGGUUCAUAAACCCAGUCCAUUUCCAACAGUAUUGCCAGUAUCUAUUAAUCCGUAGAUUUAGUGAACAAGUCAUUCUCUCCAUACUUUGAACAGCAUUGUGCAUGUUUUAUUCAGCUUUCAUGAAUUCUUUCCACGUUUCCUCCUCUGUCUUUAGAAUAGACCCCUGUCCUUCAUGAUGCUGAGAGAAAUGUGUUUAUUCUGAUGUCAUCAUGUCUCAUCAUCAUGCGGCAAAUAUCACUUGCAUCACUCUGAUGCUAGCUUUAACAGGGAAUGGAGCUCAUUCUGAUUCCUAUCAGCUAGUGUUGGCUCACCUGAGUGUCUGUGGUUUUUUCUUUUGUAUACUAUUUCUUUGUCAACUGUAAAGACAGUUUAUAUGAUGUAAUGUUAAAUCAGAAUAGAAAUCUAUGCAGAAGAUGCAAUAACAGGUUUGGUAAAAACUAAUUUCUCAAUACUGAGUUCAUUUAUUUAUUUAUUCAGCACAAAAGAACUUGCAAAAUGCAGCCUCUGACCACAUCUUUUAAUAUUCAUGAGGUUUUCUCACUCAAAGUCAAACACCUCCAAACCUCUAUUUACUGUACAUUUUGCUCAUCUUUACGUACUGUUGUAAAAUCUGUUAAAUGUACAAUCCAUUCAAUAAAGAAGUGCCCUUCUUUUUGUUGAAAUGGAAACACCGUUUGUGCCAAAUAGAUGAAUGAAUAAGAGAUACUUCAAAGACAAUAGCGAUUCAUAUUUUAAUGCUACCAGCUGUUAGUGUUGUUUCAGAUCAUCGUUCGGCACUCUGUUACUGUUACGAGUCAAAUUUUGUCAGCGUUCUGGGACAAGAGUUGAUCCUGAGAUGUGUACGAAGGGUUCAGUGCAUUUUGGAUGUUAGAUUAACUGCGUAUUGGUAAAGAGAACUGUGUGAACUCAUUACAGAGAGAAAUGUGUUAACGUUAGUGAAGAAAAACCAUAACCUAUAAGAUGGUUUCUAAACUGACUGACUGUGCUCUGUUUGCCUCAUCCCUGUGUUUCUCCAGUUGAGUUAUUCAUCCCUGUGGCCCAUGGUGCAGUGCUGCAUCUCUGGUCAGUUGGUAGUCUGAGAUGAAGCACUGUAGCUCGGGACGGAGGACAGAAAUACCAGUGGGAGCAUGUAUCCACAGCCAGGUAACAGCACCCAGCAGCAGCAGGUCUCCGGGGCUCUGGUUUGCUUCACACAGGGAGGAUGAUAUGACCCAGGAUGCAACACUGCAAUCACAAACACCUUGUGGGUCACGGUCAGGAGUUUAGAGGAGACUGGACCAUCUCCCAAAGUUCAUAGGGAUAAUCAAUUAAUUUAGAGGACAUAAAAAACAAGUUGUAGAAUUCAUCCCAAAAUGAGGAUUAGGGACACAUUUGAAUAGUCACACCUUUGCUUGCUAUAUACUGUAUAAUAAAAUAUUUUGUUAUUGUAUUUCUAACUAAUUUUAUAAAUGACUUAAUGUAAGAAUGUCUCACUCAUUUCUAUUAAGAUCUAGUAUCAAAUGUAACAUUAAAAAUGUCAGAUUAAUGAAGUUGACCACAUGUUGGAAAUUAUUUGACGUGUGUCCGCCAAAUUCCAUGAUGUAUGUGUUUAGACAUGGCACCAUCGGCAGAAAAAAAAAAAAAAAAAAAAAAAAAGACGUUUUCAAAUCUUCUAAUACGGAAACCACAGCUCGACUUCUGCACAUGAGGAAUGGGUACCCCCCCGUUCCAGUGGUGUGAUGAUGGAUGGAUGACAUCACCCGUUUUUCUUCUCCUCUCUCCUGGGGUCCAGUUUUCCCAGGAAUCCCUUGACCUAUCAGAAAGGGGGAUUCCUGGAAAUACUGUUCUUGGGGGUGGGGCUUAUCAGCUAUUCCAUUUACAGUAUUUACCAUCAUUCUGUGUGGUGUGUGCAAUAAUGGUGUACGUUUUUAUAGAAUCAGUUUUGACUGCAUUUAGUGUUUAGACACGAGAGGAACCCGUUAUUCACUAUCGUUUCAAUCCCGUUCAAAGUCACGUCAUGUUCCUGUUUAUGACAUUUGAAGGCUCUGAUUACUGCUCAUUCUGUUUAAUAAACAUUCAAAACAAAGAA